rnacentral:rRNA from 1 species
GACGGAGGAUGCAAGUGUUAUCCGGAAUCACUGGGCGUAAAGCGUCUGUAGGUGGUUUAAUAAGUCAACUGUUAAAUCUUGAGGCUCAACCUCAAAAUCGCAGUCGAAACUAUUAGGCUAGAGUAUAGUAGGGGUAAAGGGAAUUUCCAGUGGAGCGGUGAAAUUCGUAGAUAUUCGCAAGAACACCAGUGGCGAAGGCGGCUCACUGGCCCGGUACUGACGCUGAGGUGCGAAAGCGUG